rnacentral:rRNA from 1 species
GACGAACGCUGGCGGCGUGCUUAACACAUGCAAGUCGAACGAUGAAGCUGGAGCUUGCUCCGGCGGAUUAGUGGCGAACGGGUGAGUAACACGUGAGCAAUCUGCCCUUCACUCUGGGAUAACUGCGGGAAACUGUAGCUAAUACCGGAUACGAGGCUUGGAGGCAUCUCCAGGUCUGGAAAGAAUUUCGGUGAAGGAUGAGCUCGCGGCCUAUCAGCUUGUUGGUGAGGUAAUGGCUCACCAAGGCGACGACGGGUAGCCGGCCUGAGAGGGUAACCGGCCACACUGGGACUGAGACACGGCCCAGACUCCUACGGGAGGCAGCAGUGGGGAAUAUUGCACAAUGGGCGAAAGCCUGAUGCAGCAACGCCGCGUGAGGGAUGAAGGCCUUCGGGUUGUAAACCUCUUUUAGCAGGGAAGAAACGAAAGUGACGGUACCUGCAGAAAAAGCACCGGCUAACUACGUGCCAGCCGCCGCCGUAA